rnacentral:lncRNA from 1 species
AGAAACCAGUCUCCGAGGCUUGGCAAAGCAGGAGCCCUCCUUGGCAGUGCUUGGGUGUCGGGGCUCUGAGGCUCCGGCCUGACCUCUUCACGGGGUCGACGGGAUCGUCUCCGGAUGCCAGGAGUCCCAAAGGGCCGACCAGGAUGAGGAAACCCCAGGCGGAGUCCGGGGGAAGCAGCACGGCAUCCCAGCCUCAGGCCUGCCCGGACGGUGAUGGUUGGGGUAAGAUUGGGGAAGAUGCCAGGUGAUAGAAUCCACCCUGCCUCUGACAGCAUCCAAUCUGGAGCAAAGGCUUAUUUCAACCCUCCCCCAAGCUCCCAAUACAAGCCCAAAUUCUGGAACAGGUCCUUUCCAACACCUCCUUCAGAGAAGCUCCCUGGCUCCAGGCAGUGCUUGCUCCCCUCACUGCAGCAGGAAGCCUAACUUGCGAACUGCAGGUGUGCUCCAGGUGGUCACUGGAUGCAAGGCAUUGACAGAUGGAUCCCAUCGAUACCCCCACUGCAAAACCAUAGUGCAGUGAAUAGAAGACACUUCUCUGCACCCCAAAAGCUCCAUGCUGAUUGUGAGAAGGAAAUGCUGGAUGGAGGGGUUCCUGGAACUACUGUGAGGGUUUCUUUUGAUUUCUCCUGCUUAGAAA